UGCAACCUGCAUACAUUUACGCCAGCACCUUAACACACUGUUGGACACACCAAAGACAAUGCGGCAUGGCAUCGAGCUAAUUGAGAAUAAGACCUGCAGAAGUGCUAGUGGUUCAAACACUGCCCUGUGUCGCAGAACAUUAAUGAAUUUGAGCCAAUAUAACAUAACUAAUGAGGAUCUGCACUUACUGGUGCAGUGCUGACGCCCUUCUUCAUCUGCUCCUGCUCCCAGCGCUCCAACUCUGCAACAUCCUCGCGAGCCACUUCGUCACCACUUUGCUCUGCAAAGGUAGCAGUCGUUACCACAGUUUUACCAUCCUUACAAAAGCACUACUGCAGCAAAGGAAAGCCAAUUGAUCUGGCCAGAAUAUUGAACCGGAAAGUUUUUCUGUUCCAGUUCAGCAUAAAGAUUCAGUUCCAGUUCAACUCCACAGCAAGCAAAUAACAGUUCAAACCGGUUAGAACCAGUUUAUGUUCUUUACAUAACCUAAGGAUAAUUAAAGGGAAACAGCUUUAAUGUAUUUUGUUCAAAAACUCAACAGUGCUUUAAUACUAAAAGAAAAUGCAGCUGAUUCAACGAGUUAAAAUCUAUAUACAGCGAAGCUUUAUGUGAGUGUAUUAUAAUGAGUUUAAAUAUGAAUACAUGCACGCAGGCACGCACGCACACGCACACACACACACACACACACACACACACACACACACACACACACACACACACACAAGCAUGGCCAAACAGAAAUUAUACCAAGCCUUGUGUGAAACGGAGUCGCUGACUACUUGCAAACAUGAUGGACACCUCGAACGUCAGUACGCGCAUACAUAUGAAGCGCAAUUAAAAUACAUUCUAUCUGCAAGAA
rnacentral:lncRNA from 1 species